rnacentral:lncRNA from 1 species
ACUCUUUUGUGGUUUCCCAGAUCUGAUGCUUGAUAAGGGUGCUUGGUCCCAAUUUCAGGCAUAAUCUCAACUCAAAGCAUUUUCUUUGUCCUUCGCUUGAUCUACAUGCGUGUCUUCACCAACAGAAAAAUAUCCCUCUCACUUCAUAGGAUAUUGCAAGAGCUUUUAUCAUGACAGUUGUGGGCUCCAUCUCUUCCACUUCAUUGGGAAAUACAAGGCAAAUAAGGAAGUGGUAAAGUAGUAUUUCAUGCUAACCUGAAAAACAUUUCACAAUCUUCAGUUCCAGCAUACUGACUUGAGUAAUUUGUGUGCGGUCUUUGGAGACUCCUGGCAGGAAAGUCAGCCUGAUUGAUCAAGAGAGAAAGGGAGUUUGGGCCAGCGGCAGAGGCACCAGAAGUUUCUUCUAGCAGAUCACAUAAAGGAAACCAUCACUCCAUAUACACCUUUUCACGACGGCUGCAAGCAAAUCAUCAAAGCAAGAGGUCAUGGAAUAUAUUGCAGCUUCCGCUCCCUGUCCCAAUGCUGUGUAAGUAACUUGUUUCCCAGAAAACACACUAAAAAAACCCCUCAAACACAGUAAAACCUAAGAUAUGCAACAAAAAUCAAUUUCACAGUUAUACUCAAAACUACAGUUAUUAUAGAAUAUAUAAUAGCUGAAAAUAAAAUUCAAGUCACAAAAAGAAUAAUAAUGACUAAAGGGAGCUAAAAGGCGAAAUGGUAUGAUGAUCAGGUGGUGCAGUUUCUAUUUUUCCUUAACUGAAAAAAGUUGUUUCACCUGAUUACAUAUACUAAGAAGUCCCAACACAAAGAAAGCCACAAUACCAUUUUUAAAAAACACAACAGAACAACUCGGGGCCCAUCCAGUUUUCCUUGCAGAAAGCAAGCUUCUUCCAAAGGAUGCUAGUAGUGUAUUUUUACUGGUGACCAUUGGAAACCAGAUGAAGAGGGAAAAAGAAAAAGCACAACUGUGAUUGGGCCAACAAUAAAACUGUGAAAUUGUUGCACAUCUGCAUCAUCAAUUUGUUUUAUGAAAAACAGAAAUUUCUGAUAUUUAUUUUAUAUUUAUACUCCAUCAUAUAUUGUGAAUAGGAUAGUAGGAACACACAGAUGUGCAAUCUAAUGUAUUAAACAACAACAAUAACAAAAAGAAUCAAUGGCACAUUUCCUAUCAUCAAUAUGAAUAUGGAGUAGGGAGAGGGUUAAUCCCAAAGGCAAUUUAAAUAACGGUAUUUUCUUCUUUCUAUAUAUUUAUAUACAUAUAAUAUAUAUAAAUAAAUGUUCUGAGCAAUCUCAGAUUUUUUUAGUGCAUUGCCAUAAAAAAAAUAGUGCAGUUUUUGAUUGAUUUUUUUUUAUAACUCACAAGGAAUAAGAAUU